UGAAACAGUGAGGCUUGACUGACACAAAAGCAGUUCAGCUUCUUUGGAAACUAAUUAUAUAAAACUAGAUUAUUGCAUUAUAUCACCAAAAUGUUUAUUUAAUAUUAAAAUUAUUUUAGUAAAUGCUCUUUGCUAACUGCUGUCUCCAGUCUGCAUCAAAACAUGGAGUCCAGAUCUCUCUGCAUCAUACUCUUGAUGAUCAUCAUGAUUUUGCUGGGUGUACAGGAUAAGGAGGUUGAUGCAGUUUCUCUUCAUAUUUGUCCAAACAGAUUGCAGUUCUUUGAAUAUGAAGCAGUAACAUUUUACUGUGAAGGAGUCGAUUAUUGUGAAGUUGUGCAUAAAUUCAAAGGGAAAGUAAAAUCAUGUAACAAAACGAAUGAGAGGACAGCAGCAGGAUCAUCCUGCAAGAUUAAAACUGCUUAUACAGACGACAGUGGAGAGUACUGGUAUGAGACUGAAGGAGGGAUGAGAAGCAACAGUAUCAACAUCUCUGUCACUGAUGGUGCUGUGAUCCUGGAGAGUCCUGCUGUUCCUGUGUUAAUGGAAGAAACUGUGACUCUGAGCUGCAGAAACAAAACUGCAUCCUCCAGCUUCACAGCUGAUUUCUACAAAAAUGGAUAUCUCAUCCAUAGAGGCUCCACAGGAAACAUGACCCUACAGAGAGUUUCAGAGUUAGAUGAAGGACUUUAUAAGUGCAACAUUAUAGGAGCUGGAGAAUCACCAGAGAGUUGGCUGAACGUCACAGAUGUAAAUUACAUAACUACUCCAGAUGGUCACCAAGACAUGAGCCAUUCCUCCUCUGCUGCCACACCCUGGAUCAUUUGCAUCAUUUUAUUUACUGCUCUGUUGGUGGCAGUGGGACUGUAUCGCUUUGGAAAAGGUUCUUACUGGGACAGAGCAUUGUGUUGUCAGUCUACAAGGGUAGACUGUGCAGACUCAGCUGUGGAUGGAACAGUCUAUAUAGAGGCCAGCACAGUGGAUGCAGACAGAGCAACGUAUGCCGUAGUAAGAAAAAACAGGAAGAGGAAAGAAGAUGAAGGUGUAUUGCCCUCUAGACCUGUUCACUACAACUACGCCAUAAGGGACACUCAACCACAAGAUCACUUUUCCAUUUUCCAAAGCUGUCCAGACUGUGACAUUGGAUUCUUCUGCCAGGCCAAUGUGGCCCGCUGGCUAUUUGUUUGAGACUACUGCAGGAACCAACACAAAGAUGUCUUCAGCAGGAAUCUACCGGCCUAUAGCAGAGGAUCCAUCCUAUUCUACGAUACAGAUGGUUGGUGACAGAGCUGACUGAAAACAUAAACACAUCUGAGAUAGAGUGAAAGUAAUGAUGUGACCAAGAUUUAUUAAAUGUCUUAAUUGGCACUAUACACAUGUACAUUACAUGUACCAAUGAAAAAAAAGUCUGUGCAUGUUCAACUGGAUUUGAUGUGCUCAUGUAUAUUUUGUUGUAGUUUAUGUGUAUUUAAUCAUCUGCUUUUAGUUGCAUUAGCUUUGCCUUUUUACACAUACAUGAAUGUUGCUACAAGAAAAAAGCUCCUGCAGCUUUAAAAUUGACUCGGUGUGGUCAACCGCUACUCUGUUACUUGUUUUCCAAAACAGAUGAACCAUGUUUGUGGUCAGCAGUGAAAUAA